UGUGGGCUCAAGCACAUAUACAGUAACUGCAGCAGCGGCCACACUGUUUGGCUGCGUCAACACAAUGUGACUCCACUCUCUCUUCGAGCAGGACUCACUUAUCUACGCAGCAGGUGGUGGAGCAUACCUGCUUCUGCAAGGAAAACUAGAUUUUUUAUUUUUUUUUGCAAAGCACAAGACUGAAGUUUUUCAAUGAAUGCGACACCAAAGACAACCUGACGGAAGUAGUGUAGUGCAGACGAAAGAGAAGGAAGUAAUCUGACGUAGCAUCCUUUGAAUUAUUUCCACGCAGGAAUACUCUCAGGUAGAUGAGAUGAUAUUGACAUUGUCACAAUUCAAAUAUUUUGCCAUCGCUUUUCUGCAAAACGCUGAAGUUUUAACUGCAACUGUACAGAAUAUUGAUUACAAUUUUUUUAUUAUUAUUAUUUUGCCAUUUUUCUAACAUUGUGUUAUUAUAAUUCUGUAUUGUAGCGUUGUGUGGUGUUUUUUAAUAUCUUUAGCCUAUGUGCAUAUACAAGUUUUUAACUCUAAUGUCUCAAUACUAAUAAUAUCCAUUACUUGUAUUUUUUGUGCUUGGUUUUUAUUGUAUCUCCUUUUUUCUUAUGUUAUCUUAAAAGUGCGUUCAUUUUCUUAGUAAUAGCUGUACUGAUAACUCAAUAAAAACGAAAGGGAAACCAAAGACAAACAAAGGCACAUAAAAGGUGAUUUACUAAAUAUAUAACUGCUCCUCUGGGGGAGAAGCCGCAUGACUUUAGUCAAAGUGCUGCAGAUUUGGUUGGGUUGAGUUAAAGUGACACACCCGCAUUAAAUUUAUACUUUAACUUGGAGUUUUUACACUUCAUGCAAACUUUUGCAAAUAUAAUCUUCAGGCAAGCGACCGUGCAAUGUGAUGUCCGGGUUGAUAUUUGUUCCCAAAGAGCUGAACAAAUCUGUCCGGAGCAGAAGUAACAAAACUGUUCAAGUUCAGCCUCAGCAUUGUCGAUAACUUCACAACUGAACCAGCCAAAGUUACUGAACCGUUAUGUAACCCCACACUCUCCGGUUUAUCCACAUCAUCACAAGUUAACAGUGUGCGUAAUGAUCGUGGCUCUUACCUUUCACCAGACGUGCACCUCGGGAAUCAGUCCGACUCUCUUUCCACCUCGACGUCCACUUUUUCCCAGCUCACACCUCUCCACCACCGCUCCUCUCUCUCUCUCUCUCCCACUUCAGUUUAUUCUGGGCUGCGCUCGUCUCCCGCUUCUCCCCAUGCAACUGCAACAAGGCACAAACACAUGCGAUCACUCCAGAGCAGAUAUCCCCGCUGGAUGACAACAAACUCACGAUGCCUCGACACUUUCAGCCCUGGACCCCGAGCGUCCCUAAAGAAAGAUCGAAAUGCGCGUGUUUGGAGAGGAUCUGUCCAGAAGUGACAGAGGAGUGAGAGAGGAGGAGAGACGCGCUCCCGACUGACUGCUGGAGCCCGGAGACGCCAGCAGGAAUGCGCUGGCAGAAGAGCUAUGUUUCGCUCCAGACAGACCCAGCCUUCAGCCGCCACGGCACGCACGCACAGCCGCCUAUCAACGAGCGCGGUGACGACAGCCUCACUGCGAGUCACCAGGGCCACACCCAUCCAUUCAUAAAGUGGACAGAGAGAGAGAGAGGGAGAGAGACCAGUGUCCAGACCGGCCAGUGCGCAAGGAGCAUCCAUCAUAAAGGCACACAUAAAGUCUAUGGUAUCCUUUUAGUGUCUCAUAUUUCCAUGUCUGUUCCAAAUUGGGACUUGAUAAUAGCUUCUAGGUUUUAAUACAGACUUCUGUAUGACAUGUUUACUGUAGCCUGAUGUGGACAUGAAAACCUAUUUGCUUUUUUGUUCAGAUACUUGUGCAAACAUGUGUUAUAAAUAGAAAAGCAUGGCCAUGAUCCUCCAUCAUCCAUCCAUCCAUCCAUCCAUCCAUCCAUCCAUCCAUCCAUCCAUCCAUCCAUCCAUCCAUCCAUGCAUCCAUACCGCUUAUCCUUUGAGGGUUGAGGGGGGAGCUGGAUGUGAGAUUAAUCAUUGGGCCUAAAUAAAAUAAUAGUUAUGAACCUUAUCCGCAAUGCAAAUACUGUAAUAACAAUAUGUAUUUGUGUAUAGUCUAGUAUGAUGUGAACAUUUACCAGAGGAUGUUCAGUCUUGGUGAAGAGCUCAGCUGGUGUUUACUGCCUCUACAGCUUGGAUACCGGUCUUCCUCGCUCAGUCGGUCUCACGGCUGACUUCAUCGUCCACCAGCUGAACCUGCCUGUUUGUGCAUGGUUGUGUAACAUUGCACAAUUGACAGUUUUUAAUUAGUUGAAGGCAUUUGGCACCUUUGUUUUUAUCCCGAGAACACCCAGUUCAUUAAAACACUUUGGGUGGAUGCUCAAGUCUGAUAAAGCACUAUUGUGUGGUACAAGUAUGUCACCACCCAAAGGAAGGAUGCUGCACAGCCAUAGUUCAGUACAGAUACUGUAGAGUGCAGUAGGUCUAAGAAUAAACUAUGAAUUAAUCAUCUGG